rnacentral:rRNA from 1 species
UACAGAGGUCCCGAGCGUUGUUCGGAUUCACUGGGCGUAAAGGGUGCGUAGGUGGUGAGGUAAGUCGGAUGUGAAAUCUCCAAGCUCAACUUGGAAAUGGCAUUGGAAACUACCUUGCUGGAGGUUUGGAGGGGGGACUGGAAUUCUCGGUGUAGCAGUGAAAUGCGUAGAUAUCAGGAGGAACACCGGUGGCGAAGGCGGGUCUCUGGGCCGAUACUGACGCUGAGGCACGCAAGCGUGGGGAGCAAACAGG